GACGAACGCUGGCGGCGUGCUUAACACAUGCAAGUCGAACGGAAAGGCCCUGCUUUUGUGGGGUGCUCGAGUGGCGAACGGUUGAGUAACACGUGAGUAACCUGCCCUUGACUUUGGGAUAACUUCAGGAAACUGGGGCUAAUGCCGGAUAGGAGCUCCUGCUGCAUGGUGGGGGUUGGAAAGUUUCGGCGGUUGGGGAUGGACUCGCGGCUUAUCAGCUUGUUGGUGGGGUAGUGGCUUACCAAGGCUUUGACGGGUAGCCGGCCUGAGAGGGUGACCGGCCACAUUGGGACUGAGAUACGGCCCAGACUCCUACGGGAGGCAGCAGUGGGGAAUAUUGCACAAUGGGCGGAAGCCUGAUGCAGCAACGCCGCGUGCGGGAUGACGGCCUUCGGGUUGUAAACCGCUUUCGCCUGUGACGAAGCGUGAGUGACGGUAAUGGGUAAAGAAGCACCGGCUAACUACGUG
rnacentral:rRNA from 1 species